GUGGGUAUAGCUCAGUGGUAGAGUACAUGCUUAGCAUGCAUGAGGUCCUGGGUUCAAUCCCCAGUACCUCCA
rnacentral:tRNA from 2 species